rfam:Asian citrus Psyllid, Diaphorina citri - Florida Strain, whole genome shotgun sequence.
UACUGAAAUGUUUUUGAUUGUUGCUCAGAAAGCCGAGAAUUUUAUUUUGAAACAGACUUUCAAGCAAUAAUCAUGAACAGAUUAGUA